rnacentral:rRNA from 1 species
UACGGGGGGGGGCAAGCGUUGUUCGGAAUUACUGGGCGUAAAGGGCUCGUAGGCGGCCAACUAAGUCAUACGUGAAAUCCCUCGGCUUAACCGAGGAACUGCCUUCCAGACUGCUUUGCUUGAGGCCGGGAGAGGCGAGUGGAAUUCCCAGUGUAGCGGUGAAAUGCGUAGAUAUUGGGAGGAACACCAGUGGCGAAGGCGGCUCGCUGGACCGGUUCUGACGCUGAGGCGCGAAAGCGUGGGGAGCAAACGGG